AAAAUUCACCUUUUAGUUUAAAAUCAAUUUGUUGAUCACAAAAGACAUUUUGUCCCUCUCUAUCUCCUGUUAGCUUCCACACCCUGGCCCACAUCAACCUGCAUAAACACACAGACCUUGUGCAGAUGGCAGAGACAUUCUACAUCAAAGACAAGGGAACUCUUUGGGAUGAAGAAAAGAGAAGUGUCUGGAGGGAUAUCAUGCAGGAGGAUUGUGACACCAAGCUCUUGAUAGGAUUUAUGAUUUCCAAGCCUGAUGUGAUCUCCCAGGAGGAACAAGGGAAAAAGUCAGGUGCUCUGACUCUCCAAGACUCCAAGAAAAGAGAAAUCUUUAGAGGCACCUGCACUGCAGAUGAUAGGAUCAUCACUGAAGAGGUCACUCCUCAGCAGGAAGGUCCUGAAAAGACAGAACCACACUGGACAUUAGCUGGGAGACCAGCACGGGAUAUUGCCCAGAA